AGACUGUGACUUAUGCUGCCCAACACUUCUUGAAAGACCCCCGGAGAGGACCUUUCCCUCAGGAGGAGUCCCAAGCGCCCAAUGACCGAGCCGAGUCCACUCGGAUGCAAUCAGCAAGAGGGUUUAUUGGAAAACACAGGCUUUCGCCCGAUUCUCGGUACCGUGUCAGUGCAACUCAGGCUGGAGAGAUGGCUCAGUGACUUAGGGCCCUUACACCCUGGCAGACACAACACAGGUGGUUCACAACUGUCUGUAACUUCCGUUCCAGAGAAUCUAAAGCCUUCUUCUGCCCUGAGGGAUGUGUGUAGUUCACACACAUACACAUAAAAUAAAAUCUUUUUUAAAAAUAUUACAUAUCGGGCUGGAGAGAUGGCUCAGCGGUUAAGAGCACCCGACUGCUCUUCCAGAGGUCAUGAGUUCAAUUCCCAGCAACCACAUGGUGGCUCACAACCAUCUGUAAAGAGAUCUGAUGCCCUCUUCUGGUGUAUCUGAAGACAGCUACAGUGUACUUAUAUAUAAUAAAUAAAUAAAUCUUUAAAAAUAUUA